rnacentral:rRNA from 1 species
CCUACGGGUGGCUGCAGUGGGGGAUAUUGCACAAUGGGGGAAACCCUGAUGCAGCGACGCCGCGUGUGGGAAGACGGUCCUCUGGAUUGUAAACCACUGUCCCCAGGGACGAAGAUGACGGUACCUGGGGAGGAAGCUCCGGCUAACUACGUGCCAGCAGCCGCGGUAAUACGUAGGGAGCAAGCGUUGUCCGGAAUUACUGGGUGUAAAGGGAGCGUAGGCGGGAGGGAAAGUUGGGUGUUAAAUCUACCGGCUCAACUGGUAGUCGCACUCAAAACUGCUAUUCUUGAGUGAAGUAGAGGUAGGCGGAAUUCCUAGUGUAGCGGUGAAAUGCGUAGAUAUUAGGAGGAACACCAGUGGCGAAGGCGGCCUGCUGGGCUGUUACUGACGCUGAGGCUCGAAAGUGUGGGGAGCAAACAGGAUUAGAUACCCGGGUAGUC